GCCCUUCCUAACUCAGAACACAGCGCCUCUUCAUCCCCACUGAGGUCCUGUGGCAAUUAUUGCGGUGUAGGAUUGUCAGGCUCCAGUUUUCACUAGAUCUUUUGUGGGGUUAAGUUCCAAACGGAGAGACUUCAGAGCAAACCUGGGCGAGGAAGAGCCUCGUGUGCACAGGUGGCCAGUCUCUCAAAUGGGAAGAGGAAAAGGAAGAUGAGGAGGACAGUAGCUUCUGGCCCAUAGCACCAAGCAGUGGAGCUCCACCCGCCUUUCUGUGGGAUUCUGCAUUUACAGAAUGAUACAGCAGCAAGACGAACCAGAGCUCAUCCCAACAGAUCUGAGGACACUAAAGGAGGAGGAGGGAUGGAGCUAAGAGUGGCCAGCGGAGGAGGGAGAUGGCACACUGGUCGUGGGUGACAUAUGCUGGCAUGUAUUUUGCUAAGAUAGGAAACUGCACUCCUGAGAAAACAACUGCCUUAGGAAAAAUACAGAAGGAAGCGAUGUAUUAAACAAGUCUGGGAUGGCUGGAAACAAAUACUGACUUGCCUGGGACUCUAACCCACAUCUGUUCUCUGCGAAGUCUCAAUCUUCCAUUUUCAGAACAACCUUCUGCAAUGAGCUCCAGACCCUGGAGGCUUGCCCUAGCCAAAUGAAUCAGACAUCUUAAACUUUUCUAGGUUCCAACAGUCUCACUAUUGCAUACUACUUUUCUUUUUGGAAUCAUCAACCAAAUGAAAAAUAAAAUAAAAAAAAAACCCAGGUGCUUAGAAAUUAGAUUCCUUUUCUUUAUCCCUCACAUCCAAACAGUUUGCAAGUUUAGAUGCUUCUACCUCUAAGUUGAAUGCACUUCAUUAAA